rnacentral:ribozyme from 1 species
CACUCACACCAAACGAAAUGACGGAUAAUGUAAUAAUGAUGAUCCAAUAAGAAAUCGAAAAACGUGUCCCUGGCUUUUCCAUCAUCAUAUUAUUUGUACCGUAUCUUUCCCCUUUCUUCUA